rnacentral:rRNA from 1 species
AGUGAACGCUGGCGGUAGGCCUAACACAUGCAAGUCGAACGGCAGCACAGUAAGAGCUUGCUCUUACGGGUGGCGAGUGGCGGACGGGUGAGGAAUACAUCGGAAUCUACUUUUUCGUGGGGGAUAACGUAGGGAAACUUACACUAAUACCGCAUACGACCUACGGGUGAAAGCAGGGGAUCUUCGGACCUUGCGCGAUUGAAUGAGCCGAUGUCGGAUUAGCUAGUUGGCGGGGUAAAGGCCCACCAAGGCGACGAUCCGUAGCUGGUCUGAGAGGAUGAUCAGCCACACUGGAACUGAGACACGGUCCAGACUCCUACGGGAGGCAGCAGUGGGGAAUAUUGGACAAUGGGCGCAAGCCUGAUCCAGCCAUACCGCGUGGGUGAAGAAGGCCUUCGGGUUGUAAAGCCCUUUUGUUGGGAAAGAAAAGCAGCAGGUUAAUACCCCGCUGUUCUGACGGUACCCAAAGAAUAAGCACCGGCUAACUUCAUG